CACGUAGGGCGCAAGCGUUGUCCGGAAUUAUUGGGCGUAAAGAGCUCGUAGGCGGUUUGUCGCGUCUGCUGUGAAAACUCGGGGCUUAACUCCGGGCCUGCAGUGGGUACGGGCAGACUAGAGUGCGGUAGGGGAGACUGGAAUUCCUGGUGUAGCGGUGAAAUGCGCAGAUAUCGGGAGGAACACCGGUGGCGAAGGCGGUUCUCUGGGCCUUACCGUGACGCUGAGGAGCGAAAGCGUGGGGAGCGAACAGG
rnacentral:rRNA from 1 species